GCAAAGCAUUGGAUUGGCUGAGAUCAUCAAGCUUGAUGAUCUCAGCUAUAGAGGCAGGGCCAGUCGAGGAGAGACCAGCACGCUGCGUGGGGGAAAAAAAGGUGAGCAAAAACACUAUUUUUAAACAGACAUAUACACCAUGACAGACACAGAAACACACAUAUACCAUGACAGAUACACACCCCAUGACAGACACACACACACACACCAUGACACAGACAGGCAUACACCCCAUGACAGACAGACACACCCCCCAUGACGGACAGACACACCCCCCAUGACGGACAGACACACACACCAUGACACAGACACACACACCAUGGCAGACAGACAGACACACACACACAUACAGACAGACACACACACACCAUACAGACAGACAAACUCACACUGAC